rnacentral:rRNA from 1 species
GACGAACGCUGGCGGCGUGCCUAAUACAUGCAAGUAGAACGCUGAAGAGAGGAGCUUGCUCUUCUUGGAUGAGUUGCGAACGGGUGAGUAACGCGUAGGUAACCUGCCUUGUAGCGGGGGAUAACUAUUGGAAACGAUAGCUAAUACCGCAUAACAAUGGAUGACACAUGUCAUUUAUUUGAAAGGGGCAAUUGCUCCACUACAAGAUGGACCUGCGUUGUAUUAGCUAGUAGGUGAGGUAAUGGCUCACCUAGGCGACGAUACAUAGCCGACCUGAGAGGGUGAUCGGCCACACUGGGACUGAGACACGGCCCAGACUCCUACGGGAGGCAGCAGUAGGGAAUCUUCGGCAAUGGGGGCAACCCUGACCGAGCAACGCCGCGUGAGUGAAGAAGGGUUUCGGACCGUAAAGAUCUGUUGUAAGUCAAGAACGGGUGUGAGAGUGGAAAGUUCACACUGUGACGGUAGCUUACCAGAAAGGGACGGCUAACUACGUG